GGUGAAAGGCCAAUCAAACCGGGAGAUAGCUGGUUCUCCCCGAAAGCUAUUUAGGUAGCGCCUCGUGAAUUCAUCUCCGGGGGUAGAGCACUGUUUCGGCAAGGGGGUCAUCCCGACUUACCAACCCGAUGCAAACUGCGAAUACCGGAGAAUGUUAUCACGGGAGACACACGGCGGGUGCUAACGUCCGUCGUGAAGAGGGAAACAACCCAGACCGCCAGCUAAGGUCCCAAAGUCAUGGUUAAGUGGGAAACGAUGUGGGAAGGCCCAGACAGCCAGGAUGUUGGCUUAGAAGCAGCCAUCAUUUAAAGAAAGCGUAAUAGCUCACUGGUCGAGUCGGCCUGCGCGGAAGAUGUAACGGGGCUAAACCAUG
rnacentral:rRNA from 1 species